UUAAGGUGUAGGAUUUCUCAAUUGAGAAUCAGAGUCAUUGUUCUUGAUCUAGACAUCUUACAAUAGUUGCUAACAAAUUGUUUAAUUAGUUUGAAUCACCUUUAAUUCUUGAAUGAAAAACAUCUCAUAUCAUCCAUUAAAACUGUUAAUUUUGGUGCUAUUUGACGCAGACGUAAGAAUCUUUUAAGAAACACGAAUUAUUACUUGUAGUAAUUACAAUUAAUCUAAAUCAUUCAUUAUGAGUUGUAAAUUAAAGGUUUUUGUAGUGCUUUUGACUUGAGCCGAUUUGGACUAAUUUCUGGGAAGUGUAGGCUAAUCUUAGUGAUUUGCAAUAUGAUCUAAUCCUAACAAUUCUCGUAUAUUCUGACCAGACUUGGAGAUUUCGACCUUUCCCUAGAAGAGGUGCAGCUCGAGGGGCUAUUUAUUUUACCGAAUGUGAAGAUUAGAUUGAAGUAGACUUUCAAAUGAAGUAGAGUUUAGGUGAAUAUUACUUUCCUUCAGCUAUUUUCCAUAUAGCUAUGGAACUGAAGUUCCCUGUGCUAUUCGUUUAGGAGCAAGUGAAUGGUGAGAGAUGAUUUAAUAUUUUAUUAUUUUUUUCUCACUUAUUUUUUUUUCCCCAUAAUUGACUUCGGCCUGGGGUGAGUUGAAGUCAAUUACGCUACUUUGGGGUGUUUGAGUUUUGACUGAAAGUGAAGUUUUGGUAGACCAAACAACGAAAGUGAGCAUUUACGGCUGAAAACCACUUAAUCGCUCUCCACUUUUGGUGAAGCAAACACAUCCUAGGGGAAGUGAAAAUGAUUCUCCGAGUGGGCUAAGACAGUUAAAAGCUCAAAAAUAUUAUGAUGCUUUUGUCGCGUCGCACGAAUGUCAUGAGACCCCCAAUGUUCGACGGACGCCUUCGCCUUCGCCUGCUCCGAUGCCGCAAAGCCUUCAUACCAGAAAAGAAAAAAGGAAAGGAAAAAGAAAAAGGUAAACAGUAACUAUCA